AUACUAUCAAAUGAUCUUGAAGAAAAAGGGAACUCAUACAUCACACGUGGUGCCCAAUACUUGGUGACCGUUUUUAUUUUAUUUUAAAAUAAUUAGUAACCUCUCUCUCAAAACCACACAAAAGACCAUGCAGUACAGGUAGAGAAAAAGAUGACACAAAUCAUUUCUUGUUUGGUUUUCUUCCUCGAGCUAUCACCAAUCUUGCU
rnacentral:lncRNA from 1 species